AUACCUUUCUCGGCCUUUUGGCUAAGAUCAAGUGUAGUAUCUGUUCUUAUCAGUUUAAUAUCUGAUAUGUGAACCAAUGGUUCACACGAUAUUAAAUUUAUUUUUNNNNNAUUGGGCCUCUCGAGUGUCGCUUUUGUGUUACACUAUUGCAAUUGCUUGGCACACCCACC
rnacentral:snRNA from 1 species